GGCGGUAUUUUAGUCUAUUCAGAGGAAUCUGUCCUAUAAUUGAUAAUCCACGAUUUAAUUUACUUUUAGAAAAAAUUUAUAUAUCGUCGUAGUUUGAAUAUUUUAAAAGAAUUUUAAUGUUCAAAAUUUUUUUUAUGAAAUUAAAUCAGAUCAAGGUGUAGUUUAUAUAAAAGAAGAGAUGGAUUACAUUAAAUUUAUUUAAAGAUUAAUUUUUGUAAAAUUUUAUGAAUAUGGAUUUGAUAGUAAUUUUUUUAAAAUUUUAAAAAUGAUUUAAGCUCUAAAAUAUGUACACAUCGCCC
rnacentral:rRNA from 1 species